ensembl:lncRNA
UUUGCAAUGAUGGAAUCCUGUGUACUUGUUCGUGCACAUUUUUUUUAACGGGAGAUGAGUCUAGUAGUCUUCCGGGAGAAGGAGGGACCGUGCUGAUGGAGUGUGUGGUUAGGCCCCCCCCUCAGCCCAGCAAGAUCCUGUCUGCUCUUUACUUUUGUGUUUUGGAGAUGAUAUUGUUGCUAUGUUACGGGACUAAGAUCCUGCUGGUUCUUCUCAACCCAGAGGUGGGAUAUGAUAGGUUUCCACACUGACACUGAGUUUCCUACGUUCUGCUGCAGUACUUAAGUCAGGGGUUAGCGUUGCGAGUCGUACGCUGCAGUUUGCACUCAGAAAAAUCCUCUCUGUCUCAGGUGGGCAAAACAUGAUUCUAUGAAGAUGGUGAUGAUGAGAAUGUAUAUACUAUGAAACAAUCAGCUAGUCUCUCAGUCUAAUGCAGUUUUCUUUUAUUCACAUUUGCCUUGGAAAACCCCUUGUUUUCUAGUAUCAGUAGUUUUUGCCAUCCAAUCGGACCCUUUUUUUACCAUGGGGUAAACAAACUUAGUCGUACAUUUGUUUUAAGAUUAAGGUGUUUAAAGAAUGGCAAAAAGCUACUCCUUGCACAUGUUUCUCUUGUUCACAGCUAUGUUCGCUGACUCCAGGGCCACAUUGUUUCACCAGCUGAAAAUUGGAUGGAGGGAAGCAUUUGCUUGCUUGUUCCAAAUCUCAGGAUUUUUUCACUUUCAGUCAAUUUGUCCAUUUGAAGGCUUUCUUUUAAUAAAAAGCUUUCUGUUGAUCUGCGGGCCAGUGUGCGUGGUGGUGUGACUGGAUACUAAUACUGUGGAAAGAGCUCUUCCAACACUACGCGGUUUUAUUUUUCUAGACGCGCCUUCUCGUGUCCUCUUAACUUUUAAAAAGGUUAACAUCAUCGAUGUGCGUCUGUGAAAAUACUUUUAAUGGCGUUUUCUAUCGUGUAUUUGACGUUUUAGAGCACAGAGUAGUAGAGGGAAUCUGAGGUUGAUUGCUCAGUGGUAGAAUGUGAAUAUGAAGCUAACAACCUUAAUGUGUGAAGUUGUCUGCUAUCCAGAAUUCCCCUUACAUACGCAUAUCUUUUUUUGUUGCUUGUAAAGCUUCGGGAGCCAGUCUUGACUGAUAACGCAGUAGUGUGCGGGGCUUGGAAUAGGUGACCUGUGGUUGUUCUGUGCUGCUGAGAUGUUGGAGCAUUCCGGAAAAGAGGAGUGUAGGUUUCUCUUGAUCUUGUGUGAUUUGUGAAGCUGUCGGUCGGCUAUUACUUUUUGUUGUGUUCCUCCGUGCCCAUAACUUUCGUUGGUACCACCAAAGCCAGCCAUUUUAGUCAAGGAAGAGAAACGCAGUAUGCAGAGUUCUGUAUAUUGAGGAAAAAAUGUUUGCCUAGAAACAGCUGGCAUCGGAUGGCAAGGUGUGUGUGUGAUCCAUGAUUCAAACAAUGUAACGAUCAGCCUAUGGGAUCCACUACUAACCUGUUUAGUUGUGGCAGUAAGAUAUGAGCCUGCAUGCAAGGUUCCACUUGGGUUAAACUUAGUCUAUUGACGGUUGAUGCAUGAGAAGUGAUAAAGGAAUAUUGAAAUGAUAUACAUGUUAACAGAGGGAUUCUUACGUUUUUUGUUUUCAGUACCACACAACAGAGGAUGUAGAUAAUAUUCUAUAUUUGGAGUUAACUUGUUUGUGCUGAACAGGGGUAGUGUAAGACCUUUUUAGAGGAUGACAAAUGCCAGUCAAUUGUUACAAUGUGUAAAACAUCCUAAUGCUGUGCCUAAAUACAGUGUAGCUUUCGCUCAGUUUUUUUUUGUGUUCGUUUCCAGUUCACCAUUCAUUGUCUAGUACAGCAUUUGACUACCGUUAAAGCAUAUUUUAUUUCCGCAUUGUUUUUUUUUAAUGGGGGGGGGUGUUGGGGUGUGUGUGUGUGUGUGUGUGUGUGUGUGUGUAAAGUUUCAGAAGUGCAUACAUCAAAGAAUUAGCCGUAUGGUGUGCUUGAAGCAAAGCAUGGUGUACCCCUUUCUCACCAGUGAGCAGGAAACAGCCUUUCUCAGGGUUACUGUUACAGUUGAGGAGAGGUGUUCCAUGCCUAAAAAAUAAAUGAUAUGUUAGGAAGAAUCUUUUUUCCAACAAGUCACUGGAUUAAACAAAACGGUCUGUCAGCGUGUCUGCAUCAGCUGCCAAAGAUAACUGUGUGAAACGACCCUUAUGAAGUGCCCACGUGCUGGCAUAGGGAAGGGCCAAUGGCUGAUCAGCCAAAAUGUACUACUAUGACUGCUCCUCCACAAAUACUACUAGAAAUAUACCUACUGAAUAUGGGGUGAAGAUGGACCACGUGGUGCACAGCUGUGCUGUGGCUUGAUCAACAACAGAGCUCUCUCUGUUGUCAACAACAGAGCUCUCGCUCACCAGUUUCAUUGUGAAAAGUGAAUGUCAUUUAAGUAUAGAUAAAAUCAAGUUUGGUUGAUUCUUUCAGCCCUGUAUGCUGCUAUCAGACGUGUAAGGAACAUUCCACUGCGGAGUUAAAAACCAACAGAAAAUGGCCAAAUGUCAAAAAAAAAAAAAAAGUUUUUAAAUUUAAAUCUUUUUUUAUAGGGUCAAUUGGAGUAAAUUGGUCUUUGAUGAAAAAAUGGUUUUGCUGUGUGAAGUCCUAUAGAAGUGGUUGUGUAGCCCAAUCUCACUCUGCAUGUUAACAGGCAUAGCAGUGGAGGUAUUUUCUUUUCUUUUUUUAUACUCUGGAGAAACAUACCAUUUGGGUUAUUACAGCUUACAAAUCAGUUUUUUUUUUCUUGACAUUUUUUAUGCUAUCACAAUCCACAUCUCUUGUUGAAAAGGAGGAACCUAUAGAGCGACAGUGAGCUGCUUGAGGGCAGGUCCAUCUGAGAGUUAACUGUUACCUGUAGAACCUCAUUGUGCUGCAGAAGCUACAGCUAAAUGACCUCAUACCAGCCUUAUUAAGAGCGUAAACGCUUGACGUCAAGAGACCUGAGUGAGGAGAAUUCUGUUUUGUUUUAUUCCAUUAUUAAAAACCUGCACCACUAUCAUACCACAAGUUCACUGUUGUGGGGGUCAGGAGGGAGGUGAGCUUAAACAUGUCACGUCUCUUAAUGGCUGGCUUGCAUUACAGCCAAGUCAAACGCAUAUAAUCCAGUGGCUUUUAUUUUUCUGUCACUUACAAAUGGAAAUAACAAUGUGAUUGUUUUAAGAUCUUGAUUCUUUGGAAGCCAAACUCCGUUUCAAAGGCUACCGUGGGUUACAGACAUGGUCUCUAUGAGACUGGCCAGCAGGCCCCAGUUUUAAGUGGUAUGAAUGUUGUGCAUUUGUUUAAAAUCAGGAUAUUUUAUUGCAAAAUAAGUCAUGCAUUACAAAGAGGCCACCAUGGGGGCACUAGCAGUGCGAACACCUAGGCUGUGUCCUUAUAAGCUUUCGGGGAAGAAAAUAACUGCGUAUUUGUAUAUAUCAAUACAUAAUGUAUACUCUUAUGCAACAUAUGUCUGGGUUCUAUUUAUGAACAUUUGUAAGCUUUAAGAUGGUUUUACCAUUUUUGCUAAAUGUUGAAAUAUUUGGACAGGUGUGUUCUGUCAACUUUGUCUCAAGUGAGCGCAUAGCAUUGGAUAUGUACAGUACAUCUGCAAAUGGGAACUCCACUGGUGCAGGUGUGAAAAUGGCAAGUGUAGAGAAUUUUGAUUCGAAAAAGUGAUGCAAGAUUAAAGAAGGAAAAAGCCUAAGUGACAGUGUAAACCAGCUGAAUGUUGAAUGGUUCUUUUUAAACCAGUGAAUAAAAGCAUUAAACAC